GGGGCCGUAGUCUAGCCAGGCAUGACGACGGGCUCCAGAAAGAAGCAACGGGUUUACUGACCAGAUCGGGAUGACGAGAUUCUGGAGCGGUUUUAGAGAAACCCGUAGGAAAAGCCAAGCGCUUUAUCCGGGUAUAGGUCGUCGGUUCAAUUCCGGCCGGCCCCA
rnacentral:tRNA from 1 species